CGCCAAUGCGAUGGGCUAUUAAACUUUGCGGAACCUUAAACCGCCAAAGUGAGGCUCCUUAUCCACAGAAACACGAGUUCGUAAUCAUGUUAUUACAUAACCCAACGUGCAUACUCAAACUGCGAGCGAUAACGACGUUGUAAUCGAAGUAUGCAAACUUUCAAAAUGAAAGUCAUAUGUAAUAUGCAAUAAGGUGUGAGAAAACAAAUUUAGGAUAAAAAGCAGUCGUGAUACGAAGCAUGGCUGUUUUUUA
rnacentral:ncRNA from 1 species